GCGCUCGUGGUGAAACGGAGAUCAUGCGAGGUUUCUACCCUCGUGGUCGCGGUUCGAGUCCGCGCGAGCGCACCG
rnacentral:tRNA from 1 species